rnacentral:tRNA from 1 species
CCCUGGGUGGUGCAAAUGGUUAACAUUCUUGGCUGUUAACCAGAAGGUUGGUGGUUCGAGUCCACCCAGAGGCA